rnacentral:rRNA from 1 species
AUUGAACGCUGGCGGAAUGCUUUACACAUGCAAGUCGAACGGCAGCACGGGUGCUUGCACCUGGUGGCGAGUGGCGAACGGGUGAGUAAUACAUCGGAACGUACCCAGUCGUGGGGGAUAACGUAGCGAAAGUUACGCUAAUACCGCAUACGUCCUGAGGGAGAAAGCGGGGGACCGUAAGGCCUCGCGCGAUUGGAGCGGCCGAUGGCGGAUUAGCUAGUUGGUGGGGUAAAGGCCUACCAAGGCGACGAUCCGUAGCGGGUCUGAGAGGACGGCCCGCCACACUGGAACUGAGACGCGGUCCAGACUCCUACGGGAGGCAGCAGUGGGGAAUUUUGGACAAUGGGCGAAAGCCUGAUCCAGCCAUUCCGCGUGAGUGAAGAAGGCCUUCGGGUUGUAAAGCUCUUUCGGCAGGGAAGAAACGGCUUGGGAUAAUACCCCGGGCUAAUGACGGUACCUGAAGAAGAAGCACCGGCUAACUACGUGCCAGCAGCCGCGGUAA